rnacentral:sRNA from 1 species
GUGUGCUGCAGGAUAAUAAAGCUUUUCCCCCAAAAAACAGAUGAAUAUUUAAACUAAUUCAAAGAGAGAAGAAAGCUUCCUGAAAGGUAAUUUAAUUGACUUUUGCUUUCCAGGUGUCAAAUCAGACACUGAGCUUGUUCUUCACGGUUCUGCAAGAUGUCCCAGUAAGAGAUCUGAAACCAGCCAUAGUGAAAGUCUACGAUUACUACGAGACAGAUGAGUUUGCAAUUGCUGAGUACAAUGCUCCUUGCAGCAAAGGUAAGCCACUCACACUCCUUCAAAAGGCAGUCAGAGCUCCUUCAGCUUGUCCCCCAAACCUUCUCCUUCAAAAACCCUGGGUAAAUAUUGUCAAAAACAUCAAAUUACUCACACUGCACAUUAUUAUAGAAAAACACAUUUAUUGGAGAGGGCCACUGACUCUGUCAAACCUCAGACAGUCCAUAGGAUUGCUUAUGGGUAAUGAUUUGGAAUAGAUUUGGUUUCCCACUGUACUGAUUAGGUUUCCUUGGACACUAUGCUACCCAGAACUAAGGGAAAGAAUACUCUCUGCUCAUGGAGACCCAAGUCUGUCUUAAUUUUUUUUCUUUCCAAUAUCACAGAUCUUGGAAAUGCUUGAAGACCACAAGGCUGAAAAGUGCUUUGCUGGAGUCCUGUUCUCAGAGCUCCACAGAAGACACGUGUUUUUGUAUCUUUAAAGACUUGAUGAAUAAACAUUUUUUCUGGUCAA